UCUCCAAUAGCUCAGCUGGUUAGAGCGAUUGACUGUUAAUCAAUAGGUCGACGGUUCAAAUCCGUCUUGGAGAG
rnacentral:tRNA from 1 species